UGGCGGACGGGUGAGUAACACGUAUGCAACCUGCCUUCAACAAGGGGAUAACCCGUUGAAAGACGGACUAAUACCCUAUAACACAGGGGUCCCGCAGGGGAAUAUUUGUUAAAGGACAACCGGUUGAAGAUGGGCAUGCGUUCCAUUAGCUAGUUGGCGGGGUAACGGCCCACCAAGGCAACGAUGGAUAGGGGAACUGAGAGGUUUAUCCCCCACACUGGUACUGAGACACGGACCAGACUCCUACGGGAGGCAGCAGUGAGGAAUAUUGGUCAAUGGGCGCAAGCCUGAACCAGCCACGUCGCGUGAAGGAAGACGGCCCUACGGGUUGUAAACUUCUUUUGCAAGGGAAUAAAGUGGGCCACGUGUGGCCUUUUGCAAGUACCUUGCGAAUAAGGAUCGGCUAACUCCGUGCCAGCAGCCGCGGUAAU
rnacentral:rRNA from 1 species